CUUUCCCAAAUGAAAAACAAAAAACGAAGUCUCUUUGAAACAAAAAACCCUAGAGCGAAAUCGCUCUAAAACUCUGAAACAAAAAAAAACCCUAGUGCGAUGAAGACUCAACCGGUGAUUUCAGCCCUGGCCUGUUGGACCUGCAUUCAUUUGAUACUGAGCUUCUUACCAAGGAGGAUUGAUCACAGUAUACUUUGCAAGAUGAAUUUUGAAUCUAAGUUGUGGUAGAUCGCAACACCCUUUAUCAUGAUAGAAGCUUUGAAUAAGAAGGAAUUAGAAAAGAAUGAGAAAGGCAUUAUAGAAACGCAUUCCAACUAAAGGUGAGUGUGACUUAUUUAUAUUUUUAUGCUAGAAAUGAAGUAAGCCUUGGUCAUCUGGAUUGACUGCACGCAAGAGUCAUAGUACAAGCACUAGCACUGGGCGCGAAUGGGCUACUUCAACUGUCAUAGAUGACUUUAUCUUUGUAUGCAUCAUGCCUUUACUUUGUUUUUAUAUGCAUCACACUCACUUAACUAGCGUUAUCUUUAAGACUUGAACAAAAUCUAGGAGAUCCACUACUUUAAAUACUUCAUUCCCAUACAUAUGUCUUUGAAGAAAUUAGCCUAUAAUAGAAAUGAAAAGUAUUUGAUUGUU